UACGAAGGGGGCUAGCGUUGCUCGGAAUCACUGGGCGUAAAGCGCACGUAGGCGGCUUUCUAAGUCAGGGGUGAAAUCCUGGAGCUCAACUCCAGAACUGCUUUUGAUACUGAGGAUCUUGAGUUCGGGAGAGGUGAGUGGAACUGCGAGUGUAGAGGUGAAAUUCGUAGAUAUUCGCAAGAACACCAGUGGCGAAGGCGGCUCACUGGCCCGAUACUGACGCUGAGGCACGAAAGCAUGGGGAGCAAACAGG
rnacentral:rRNA from 1 species